GUUAAAUUCUGUUAGUGCUGCACUAAAAGAAUUGUUAGUAAUAAGUCCAUGCAGCGAAGGAAGUGAAGAAUUGUGGGACCGUAUUUGGGCUGAAAACGGAAACCCAGAAAUAGCACGAGUUCAACAUAAAACAUGAAUUAGAAUUUUAAUGGGGGAUCAAGUCAAGUCUGGAAGUGUUACAGGAUGGAAGAGUGAGCCUACAGUUGAAAAACACUGAAAGUGCAUUACCAUUAAGGUAUGAGGUAAAGUAAUAGAGUAUGCAAAUUGUCUAAUGAGAAGUACCAUCUUAUGUGAAUGAAUCCUGUGUAACAGCAAUCCUUUAUAGUUCUGUCACAGCUAGAAGCCUCAAAUAAUUCUGCUUCUCUUGCUAAAGAACAAGAUGUCCUUUACUUUCAGAGUGUUGGUGAAGCUGGGUACUUAAAUUGCCCUAAAGAUGUUUCAUUUCUUUGGCAUUGCAGCGAUGAACAUCAUACAUGGACUUUUUAGGAAAAUUUUCAGCAUACUGGGAACACAACUAUCAACAAUGCAACAUCCUAGGGGUGCUAUUUUAUCAUUCAAGAGCCUUAUACAAUGAUUUUCAUCUGCAAUUUGUAUGGCCUUUCCCAAGC